GGGCCCGCACAAGCGGUGGAGCAUGUGGUUUAAUUCGAUGAUACGCGAGGAACCUUACCAGGGCUUAAAUGUAGUCUGACAGGGGUGGAAACACCCCUCCUUCGGGCAGAUUACAAGGUGCUGCAUGGUUGUCGUCAGCUCGUGCCGUGAGGUGUCAGGUUAAGUCCUAUAACGAGCGCAACCCCUGCCGUUAGUUGCCAGCAUGUAAUGAUGGGAACUCUAACGGGACUGCCGGUGCAAACCGCGAGGAAGGUGGGGAUGACGUCAAAUCAUCACGGCCCUUACGUCCUGGCUACACACGUGCUACAAUGGUCGGUACAGAGGGAAGCUACCCCGCAAGGGGAUGCGGA
rnacentral:rRNA from 1 species